GAAAGACGGGUGAGAAUCCCGUCCACCGAUUGACUAAGGUUUCCAGAGGAAGGCUCGUCCGCUCUGGGUUAGUCGGGUCCUAAGCUGAGGCCGACAGGCGUAGGCGAUGGAUAACAGGUUGAUAUUCCUGUACCACCUAUAAUCGUUUUAAUCGAUGGGGGGACGCAGUAGGAUAGGCGAAGCGUGCGAUUGGAUUGCACGUCUAAGCAGUAAGGCUGAGUAUUAGGCAAAUCCGGUACUCGUUAAGGCUGAGCUGUGAUGGGGAGAAGACAUUGUGUCUUCGAGUCGUUGAUUUCACACUGCCGAGAAAAGCCUCUAGAUAGAAAAUAGGUGCCCGUACCGCAAACCGACACAGGUAGUCAAGAUGAGAAUUCUAAGGUGAGCGAGCGAACUCUCGUUAAGGAACUCGGCAAAAUGACCCCGUAACUUCGGGAGAAGGGGUGCUCUUUAGGGUUAACGCCCAGAAGAGCCGCAGUGAAUAGGCCCAAGCGACUGUUUAUCAAAAACACAGGUCUCUGCUAAACCGUAAGGUGAUGUAUAGGGGCUGACGCCUGCCCGGUGCUGGAAGGUUAAGAGGAGUGGUUAGCUUCUGCGAAGCUACGAAUCGAAGCCCCAGUAAACGGCGGCCGUAACUAUAACGGUCCUAAGGUAGCGAAAUUCCUUGUCGGGUAAGUUCCGACCCGCACGAAAGGCGUAACGAUUUGGGCACUGUCUCAACGAGAGACUCGGUGAAAUCAUAGUACCUGUGAAGAUGCAGGUUACCCGCGACAGGACGGAAAGACCCCGUGGAGCUUUACUGUAGCCUGAUAUUGAAAUUCGGCACAGCUUGUACAGGAUAGGUAGGAGCCUUUGAAACGUGAGCGCUAGCUUACGUGGAGGCGCUGGUGGGAUACUACCCUAGCUGUGUUGGCUUUCUAACCCGCACCACUUAUCGUGGUGGGAGACAGUGUCAGGCGGGCAGUUUGACUGGGGCGGUCGCCUCCUAAAAGGUAACGGAGGCGCUCAAAGGUUUCCUCAGAAUGGUUGGAAAUCAUUCAUAGAGUGUAAAGGCAUAAGGGAGCUUGACUGCGAGACCUACAAGUCGAGCAGGGUCGAAAGACGGACUUAGUGAUCCGGUGGUUCCGCAUGGAAGGGCCAUC
rnacentral:rRNA from 1 species